rnacentral:rRNA from 1 species
GAGUUUGAUCAUGGCUCAGAUUGAACGCUGGCGGCAGGCUUAACACAUGCAAGUCGAGCGGGCGAGGUUGCUUCGGUAACUGAGCUAGCGGCGGACGGGUGAGUAAUGCUUAGGAAUCUGCCUAUUAGUGGGGGACAACAUUCCGAAAGGGAUGCUAAUACCGCAUACGUCCUACGGGAGAAAGCAGGGGAUCUUUAUGACCUUGCGCUAAUAGAUGAGCCUAAGUCGGAUUAGCUAGUUGGUGGGGUAAAGGCCUACCAAGGCGACGAUCUGUAGCGGGUCUGAGAGGAUGAUCCGCCACACUGGGACUGAGACACGGCCCAGACUCCUACGGGAGGCAGCAGUGGGGAAUCUUGCGCAAUGGGCGAAAGCCUGACGCAGCCAUGCCGCGUGAAUGAUGAAGGUCUUAGGAUUGUAAAAUUCUUUCACCGGGGACGAUAAUGACGGUACCCGGAGAAGAAGCCCCGGCUAACUUCGUGCCAGCAGCCGCGGUAAU